rnacentral:rRNA from 1 species
AGACAGCAGUAGCCGCGGGAACACGUAGGGUGCAAGCGUUAAUCGGAAUUACUGGGCGUAAAGCGUGCGCAGGCGGUUAUAUAAGACAGAUGUGAAAUCCCCGGGCUCAACCUGGGAACUGCAUUUGUGACUGUAUAGCUAGAGUACGGCAGAGGGGGAUGGAAUUCCGCGUGUAGCAGUGAAAUGCGUAGAUAUGCGGAGGAACACCGAUGGCGAAGGCAAUCCCCUGGGCCUGUACUGACGCUCAUGCACGAAAGCGUGGGGAGCAAACAGGAUUAGAUACCCGCGUAGUCCCUGUCUCUUAUAC